AUGGCUCUGUUUCAGAGUUUCCCGCUCGCUGGCGCCUCCUCGGAUCCCACGACCCUCCUCCAGAACCAGUGCUCACGCCACACCCUGUCCACCUGCUCGAUCGGCACCCCCCUCGUCUCCGGCAGCAGGAGGUACACGAACACCGUCAUGGCCGCCAGCCACGCCGCGAAGAAGAAGAAAAUCCCGGCCCUCAUGCGGCACAGCAUCGCCAGGAACGUCUGCGCCACGAACACCGUGAAUACGAAGCUCGUCGCCACCGUCACGCCCUGCCCCGCCGACCGCACCUCCAGCGGGAAGAUCUCGCUCGGCACCAGCCACCCCAGCGGCCCCCACGACCACCCGAACCCGGCCACGUACACCGCGAUCAGGAGGAUCAGCGCCGCCGCCCAUGUCUUGCUCACGCCGCCGUCGUCGCCCAGCUUCGCCGCCAUGAUGGCCCCGAUCAGCAGCUGCGACGCGAGCAUCUGCGCGCCGCCGGCUAGGAAGAGCGUGCGGCGGCCGAAACGGUCGACGAGGAACAUGGAGAGGAGGGUGGAGGCCGCGCCGACCACGCCCGUGACCACCGCGGACAGGAGCGACGCGCUCUCGCCCAUGCCGAUCGUGCGCAGCAGCACCGGCGCGUAG
rnacentral:rRNA from 1 species